AGAUAAAAAAACAACUGGAGGUGCAGCGUGUCAGUCUAAUUGAUUCUUUUCACCAUCGCAGAGAAAAUCACUGUCGCAGUUGUGUGCCUGUGGUUGAAGAAGACAGAAGAAUACAACAAACGGAAACAUUGAAUGGCAGAGAGGAUUUAGUGUGACACAUCGGUGGAAUGCUAAGACGAGACUGAGUGCUUGCCCUGCCGCGGUUUAGAAAGGUACCGAGGGUCCGGGCGGAUAACGCUUCACAUCAUCAGAAGAAAACUGAGCAAUCACCUUCUGCCGAGAUUAUGCAGAUGAGGCAGCCGCACUCGUCCUGGAACGCUCUGAACAUGUUGGUGUAAACAGAGUGUGGACGGCUUACAUGCUGACAAGAUGCUCCUCUCCAUUGCAACGUCGCCCGGGGCCGCCAAAGAAGGAGGCACGUUUCCUCAAUACAGACCCUGUUUAACAGCCAAUACGGCGCUGUUUUAAGCUUUUCUCCUCACCCACACAGGAAAGGAAGGUUUAUAGAAGCGAUUAUAUGUAGUCACCACAUACCUUUUGAAAACACGGCUACUGUAAAGCCACUCAAAGGGUUGAAUAGACUGAAGGCCUCGGCUAGAUUCGUUUCAAGCUGUUUUUGUUUAGAGAUCGUGCACUUGCUUUGCUCUGAGACUUUCAGCAUAACUCCAUCUAUGCCCCGGGUUUUUUGAGUUUGUGGUGGACCACUCUUUUAUACUGUACAAUGGUUGCGGCCGUAGAUACAAAUAAAAAAUGGCUAGAUUUCAAGAUUUUCAAGGUCCCAUCUUUCACCAAGAAACAUUCCAGGUGAUUCAAAUGGUUUCUCUUGAUGCUUGUGGUAUUUCUACAGCUUGGAAGAACGCGAGCACUUUGAUGAAACUCUUUAAUUCUAUCACUUCAAAGACCUAGUGAUUUUGAAGAGGAUCAAAUAUGAUGUAUGGAAGAAGAAGGUGCUUGCUUUUCUAGGUCAAGGAACCUCAAGUCCGCUCUGAGCUUGGAGGAAUUUCACUUUCAACCUGAUAUGAACCAAGACUAUACGUGGUUCCUGCACAGCAGACAUGCGGUCCCGUGUAUAGCAUGCCUAAUAGAAUAGAAUACACGCUCACUGCAAUAUUCAUCAUAGAAAG